UUGCAACUUGCUAAGGCUUAUUUUCCCCAAUCACAAAACAAUCACCCUUUAAAGUUGCCUACACUCGUGACGAAAAGUUAGGCUUGCAUAAUCUUUUAUCGAACGCGACUUUCUAUGUCUCCAACUUUCGGCCCACUUGUCUUUUUCCCCUGCCAGUUCCCUCGCAUUUCGUGUCUCUCGCUCAUUCCGAGCCUCUCCCUCGGGCCGCUUCGAUGCUCGCUGCCGGGCUGAGCUCCUGCAAGGUUGCCGUGCUUGUGUGUAUUUUAGGCCUGCCAGCAUGUUUCUCCAUGAAGCAAGGUAUGACUCACAAAUCAGAUAUUUGACCAGGAGAUCCACUGAGUAGAGUAGAGCCGAAGCGUGGGAGGAAAGUGUGGAUAGCUCACAAGGGGAGUAUGGCUGACCUCGAUCUUUCCAUCUGGUAAACAGACUGCUAUUUCAGCUCAAUUUCAAAGAAAGAAUUGUUUUUCCCAACACCAAACGGCUCGCAGGGCUUCACUAGAGGACCGCUUGUACAGAGGAGAGGCUGGCGGCGUGAGGGUUGAACGUCGUUUCUACAAAUGGGACUGUGACUUCAGGUUUCAGGUCUCCCCUCACACUGGACAGAGCCUCAUGGCCAGGCCCAUUUGUCCACUAAUGGUGCAAGGAACGCAGGUGCGCCUCCUCAAUCCGGGUUUACCUCUCUGUCUGCUCCUGACAACCAAUGUACAGAGGUGCCACGAGACUCGAGUGACCCCACUCGUGGGUUUUUCAAGACAUGAGCCGUCAUUUUUGCAAACUUGAGAUGCAAAUUGUAGGAUGGCAGUCAACUCAACGUAGCUCAUUUCACAAGCAACAUUUUGGCAAAUCAUGACCAAUUCAUCAAAAAUGAUUCUUUGAGCUGUUUAAGGCCACAUCCUUUCAAAGUUUACUGUCAAACUAAAUCCAAAAUGGAGAGAAUUCCACCAUGUGUAUUAAUAACAAAUCAAACAACCUUCAAAAGAAAGGCCUCACUAGUUUAAUGCUAGCAUGAAAUAAAAAAAUGUUCACAUGCUAACGAGUUACAUCGAUUGUUGCUGCUUUAGAAGGCUGAAGGAAUCGAAGACGUUUCAACCAACGGUGAACAACAAACAGAACAAUACUGCUGGCAUAUAUUCUUUGUCAUCUUCAAAGAAUGACUGAUAUUAUAGCAUCUUUCUGAGUCACUGACUGAAACUAUUCUUCAUUGUUUGUGUCUGCAUGAUGGCAUUAUACUGUCCCCAGAUAGUGGCCAAGACAGAGCAGACACCAGAAGGAUCAGCGCAAUAAAAUCAAUCGUACAAUUGUCA